UACGAAGGGGGCUAGCGUUGCUCGGAAUCACUGGGCGUAAAGCGCACGUAGGCGGAUUGCUAAGUCAGGGGUGAAAUCCUGGAGCUCAACUCCAGAACUGCCUUUGAUACUGGCAAUCUCGAGUCCGGGAGAGGUGAGUGGAACUGCGAGUGUAGAGGUGAAAUUCGUAGAUAUUCGCAAGAACACCAGUGGCGAAGGCGGCUCACUGGCCCGGUACUGACCGCUGAGGUGCGAAAGCG
rnacentral:rRNA from 1 species